AACCAGCACCUCAAGUGGUCAGGAGGAUUAUUGGGCCUAAAGCAUCCGUAGCCCGCGCUGUAAGUUUUCGGUUAAAUCUAUGUGCUCAACGCAUAGGCUGCCGAAAAUACUGCAAUGCUAGGAAGUGGGAGAGGUAGACGGUACUUGGUAGGAAGGGGUAAAAUCCUUUGAUCUAUCGAUGACCACCUGUGGCGAAGGCGGUCUACCAGAACACGUUCGACGGUGAGGGAUGAAAGUGUGGGGAGCAAACAGG
rnacentral:rRNA from 1 species